rnacentral:snRNA from 1 species
CGCUUUGUGCAGUGUCAGUAUUGUAGCCAAUGAGGUGUGUCCGAGGUGCAAUUAUUGCUAAUUGGAAGGUACCCCUG